UGUGUGUACAUAGAGGCUUACCCUGUGGACAUCCUGGAGGAUGACGCGGAGGGCUAUCAGGCAGCAGCUGAGGCUUACUAUGAGAUGCUCAGGGAAGGAGCCCAGACCUCAGCAGAGGUUAUCUCCCUUUCCACUGGGGAGCAGGUCAGACUUGAGGCUUCAUCUCUUUGUUUUUGCACGAUGUACCGUGAUGAACCUCAACAUAAAAUACUGGGUUUGGUUAGUCCCCAGGACACAAAGACAGUUGUGGCUGUUUACUUAAAGGAAUCCUGGUGGUCCAUCGAAGACAUCCUAAGAACUUCUGAUCCCACGCGGGAAGGGCUCAUGAAGGUUCAGUCCUUUGGGGAAAGGAUUAUUCUCUUUGUUCUCAACGUGAUUGUUUUUGGAAGACUGGAGAGAAGGCUGCACAGCGAUGACAUGUUUUUCUUACCUCACCCUGCGAAGGAGCAAGCUAAGAUUCUGUGGAGAGAUGGAGCCGCGGUUGCAUUUUACUCAGUCAAAAUGAAAGGCAGCCUCUGUGGUGAUGGUACCGGCACAUGCUACCUGCUGCCUGUCUUCGACACCGUGUUUGUGAGGAGGAAGAACCGUUGUCAAGGCCUGGGGACAGCCAUGCUGAGGGACUUCUGUGACACCUUUCAAGGAGACGAAGCUCUGGGUAUCAGUUGUCCGAUAUCUCCUGCCAUGUACAGAGUCCUCAGGCAGUUCCUGUUGACCUGUCCAGGCGAGAGAGGGCGCUUGUGGGAGGUGGAGCCCCCGGGGGCCUGGGGCCAGCAGCGUGUUAACAUCUGGCUCAAGGUUUAUCUUCAAGAGCGGAGACUUCAAGAUGGGAGCACCGUGCACCCUAAAUGUUCUGAAGAGGACACGGACACUCCUGGGCAGGCUUCUAAGGAGGAUGGACCCACACAGUUUAAUCAUGGAGAAAGCCACAAGGAGUGGGCUGUUGGAGAACCGGAGAGGACACAGAAUGACCGACGGUGUGCGGAAGUGUGUGAGGAAGCGCGUUAGGUGUGAACUCGGCACCUAACUCCUCAGAGGUCCGUCUGGCUUCUCCAGGAACGGAGCCUGAGGGUUUUAUACAGCCCUGAAUAGUCUCUGGUCCCGAGGAUGGUGUUUGUUAUCUCUGGCUCCCCUGGUAGGCUCCGGAACAACAGGGUCUGAAGACGUGCUUGGGUGAGCCAGUUACUCAAUGGGAGCCACUUUUGUGGGCCAACUGUUGGCAGAUGCAGGACUUUAGAACGUCAUUCAUUAAAAUGACCAUUGCUUCCACUCCCCAGGAGGAUAGGAGGGAGAUGCGUGGGACCCUGUGAAUGAAUGCACACCCUUCCCUUUAGUGGAAACAGGCUCAGAGAUGGACCAUGGUUCCCAUCCAUGUUGUACAUUCAGCCCUGUUGUAACCUCAGAGCUCCACAGUGGAGUUUUUCAGGGAGACACAUUCCUUCUCUGGGGACUUGUCAGUCACUUCUGAGCUCCUUGAGGACACACACCAGGGCUGGAUAAUGUCAACCAUGCCAGGGCCCAAUGGUGGCCACUGUGGGCCUUGGACUGCAUUAGGCUCAGUGUACUGCCCGUGUUGCCUUCAAUGCCAUCGGGUCCAGAUGUCUGCAUGCAGGGGAGGAUUUCUACCUGAGAAAGCGAGCCUGGCACUUUAUGUUCCCUGAAUGCUCAACAACAUAUGCUGUGGGGCCUUAUAUUUGUCAAAGCGUGCAGCUCUUUGCUCAUUUCUACAUACAUGCACACAUGCAUGCGUGCACACAUACAUCUCUCAUUUUCUCUCUCUUCUUUUUCCUUCACCUCUUCUCUUCCUCUCCCCUUUCCUCUAACCAUUUAUCUGUAUAUAUAUGUGUGUGUGUAUACACAUAUAUACAUAUACAUAUACAUAUACAUAUACAUAUACAUGUUGUGAUCGUUUGUGUAUGCUAGGCCCAGGGAGUGGCACUUUUAGAAGGUGUGGCCCUGUUGGAGUAGGUGUGUCACUGUGGGUGUCUGGCUUUAAGACCCUCAUCCUAGCUGUCUGGAAGCGACUAUUCUGGUAGCAGCCUUCAGAUGAAGAUGUAGAACUCUCAGCUCUGCCUGCGCCAUUCCUGCCCAGAUACUGCCAUGCUCCCUCCCACCUUGAUGAUAAUGGACUGAAUCUCUGAACCUGUAAACCAGCCCCAAUUAAAUUUUUUUUUUUUAAUAAGACUUGCCUUGGUCAUGGUGUCUGCUCACAGCAGUAAAACCCUAACUAAGGCACACACACAUAUAUCAUACAUAAACAUAUGUACACAACCAUACACACAUGUACACUCACACAUACAUUCUCUCUAUUUCCUUUGAUUCACUGCUGUAUCCCCUAUCAGUCUGUCCUCUCUUGUUCCUUCCUUUCUCCACCCAUCCAGCAUGCUUUCUGUGGGACAAACUCUGUGUUGUGCUUGGGACAUUAAACUGAGGCUUGGUUUCAGCCUCAGGGAGCUGCUCUCUCUGGGUGGGCUGCCCUGAGUGUCCCCUGCAGUUUCUCUUCGUCUCACACGCAUUGCAAAGAGGGAGGGGCCCAACUGUGAAGAAGCAGAGCUUGCAGCUCCAUACAGGGGCAUCACGAGGACCCCGUUUGCAUAUGGGGUCUGUGAAGGAAGCCCGGACCACAGACAUGGACUGAACAUCUGGGGGGUGCUUUGUGUGGGACCCCACACAUUCUUUAACAUGUAGUUUGUGUGUUGUGAGGAUUUCUUGUUUUCUGUUUAUUUGAAAAUUAACUCAUAAGUUUCUCUGUGAUUUAAUAACAUUAUUGCUCAAUAAAGACCUUCCAUAUAUUAAUAGCUU
rnacentral:lncRNA from 1 species